AUCUGAUGUCGAGUCCUAGAUAGAACGAAACGCGUGUCCUGGAU
rnacentral:hammerhead_ribozyme from 1 species